GGCGCGGCUGCUAAUGCAGCGCGGGCGCCCCAAGAGCGACCGGCUGGGGAAGAUCCGGAGUCUGGAUGGUGUGGAGUCGGGAGUAGUGGCGCGCGCUUCUAGUCCCAGCUACUCGAGAGGCUGAGGCGGGAGGAUCCCUCAGCCCAGGAGUUGGAGGCAGCUGUGAGCUAUGAUCGCGCCUAGGCGACUGAGUGACACCCCGUCUCUAAAAAUAAAGUAACGGGGGGAUGGGCGGGGCGGCUACACUUGUACGAGAAAUGUCAGGUGAAAAAGCCUUCUGAGGUACCCGGGGCAGAUUGGUGUAGGGUGCAAAGCCUGCCCGCCCCCUAAGCCUUCUGCCCCCAACUCCAGCCUGUCAGGAUUGGAGCUGCUUUCCGAGCACCUGGACCCCAAACUCCUGUGCCGCCUGACGCAGCUGCAGGAGCUUGACCUGUCUAACAACCACCUGGAGACGCUGCCGGACAACCUGGGCCUGUCCCACCUGCGUGUCCUCCGCUGCGCCAACAACCAGCUGGGGGAUGUUACUGCCUUGUGCCAGUUCCCCAAGCUCGAGGAACUCAGCCUGGAGGGCAACCCCUUCCUGACGGUCAAUGACAACCUGAAAGUCUCCUUUCUCCUGCCCACGCUCCGUAAGGUCAAUGGCAAGGAUGCGUCCUCAACUUACUCUCAGGUGGAGAACCUGAAUCGGGAGCUGACCAGCAGG
rnacentral:lncRNA from 10 species